GAUAAUAUUUAAUAUAUUUUUUUUUUUUUUUUAAUUAAUAAAAAAUUUAAUUCUUGUUUUAAAAAUUAAUUUAAAUAAUUAUUUAUAUGUAAAUAUUUAUAUGAUACAUUAUUCUAAAAGAUAUAAUAUUUUAAUUUCAAUAUUUAAUAUUAAUUAUUAAUUAAUAUUAAUUUUAAAAAUUAUUUUAAAUUUUAAUUAAAAUUGUGCCAGCAAUUGCGGUUAUACAAUUAAUAUGGAUUAAUUUUUUUUGAUUUUAAUAUUUAAUUAUUAUUUAAUAUUUAGUUGUAAAUAUUAGGUGAAAUUUUAUUUAUAAGUAUAUAUUUAGGUUUUUUUAAUUAUAAAAUUAGAAUAUAAAAUAGGAUUAGAUACCCUAGUAUACUAAUUAUAAAAUAAAUAUUUAAGGAUUAUUAGAUUAUUCUUGAAAAUUUAAAGAAUUUGACGGCAAUUAAUUUUAUUAGAGGAAUUUGUUCUGUAAAUGAUAAUCCACGAUAAAUUUUACUUUUAUUUUAUUUAUAUAUCGUUGUUAAAGAAUAUUUUAUUAAAAAAUUUUCUUUUAUAUUAUUUAUAUAAUAUCAGAUCAAGGUUUAAUUAUAUAAAAGAAGAAAUGAAUUACAUUAAUAUUAUUUUUAGAUUUAUAUAUGUAAAUUUAUAAUGAAAUUGGAUUUAAUAGUAAAUAUUUUUAUAAUUAAGUAUUGAAUUUUUUUUUAAUUGUGUACAUACUGUCCGUCACUCUCAAUUUUGAGAUAAGUCGUAACAAGGUAGGUUUACUAGAAAGUGGUCCUAGAAUU
rnacentral:ncRNA from 1 species